AGAGUUUGAUCAUGGCUCAGGAUGAACGCUAGCGACAGGCCUAACACAUGCAAGUCGAGGGGCAUCGGGACGUAGCAAUACGUUGCCGGCGACCGGCGGAUGGGUGAGUAACGCGUAUGCAACCUACCCGUAGCAGGGGGAUAGCCCGUUGAAAGACGGAUUAAUACCCCGUAACACAGGGGCUCCGCAUGGAGAUUAUUGUUAAAGGGUCAUUUCUUUUUCAGGGAUGGUCCGGCUGCGGAUGGGCAUGCGUUCCAUUAGGUAGUUGGUGUAGGUAACUGCUCACCAAGCCGACGAUGGAUAGGGGAACUGAGAGGUUGGUCCCCCACACUGGUACUGAGACACGGACCAGACUCCUACGGGAGGCAGCAGUGAGGAAUUUUGGUCAAUGGACGCAAGUCUGAACCAGCCAUGUCGCGUGAAGGAGGACGGCCCUAAGGGUUGUAAACUUCUUUUGCGGUGGAAUAAAGUUUGCCACGUGUUGGCGAUUUGCAAGUACGCUGCGAAUAAGGAUCGGCUAACUCCGUGCCAGCAGCCGCGGUAAU
rnacentral:rRNA from 1 species